rnacentral:rRNA from 1 species
GACGAACGCUGGCGGCGUGCUUAACACAUGCAAGUCGAACGGUAAGGCCCUUCGGGGUACACGAGUGGCGAACGGGUGAGUAACACGUGGGUGAUCUGCCCUGCACUUCGGGAUAAGCCUGGGAAACUGGGUCUAAUACCGGAUAGGACCCUGGGAUGCAUGUCCUGGGGUGGAAAGCUUUUGCGGUGUGGGAUUGGCCCGCGGCCUAUCAGCUUGUUGGUGGGGUGAUGGCCUACCAAGGCGACGACGGGUAGCCGGCCUGAGAGGGUGACCGGCCACACUGGGACUGAGAUACGGCCCAGACUCCUACGGGAGGCGGCAGUGGGGAAUAUUGCACAAUGGGCGCAGGCCUGAUGCAGCGACGCCGCGUGAGGGAUGACGGCCUUCGGGUUGUAAACCUCUUUCAGCACCGACGAAGCGCAAGUGACGGUAGGUGCAGAAGAAGGACCGGCCAACUACGUGCCAGCCGCCGCGGUAA